rnacentral:rRNA from 1 species
AGUGAACGCUGGCGGUAGGCCUAACACAUGCAAGUCGAACGGCAGCACAGUAAGAGCUUGCUCUUACGGGUGGCGAGUGGCGGACGGGUGAGGCAUACAUCGGAAUCUACUUUUUCGUGGGGGAUAACGUAGGGAAACUUACGCUAAUACCGCAUACGACCUACGGGUGAAAGCAGGGGAUCUUCGGACCUUGCGCGAUUGAAUGAGCCGAUGUCGGAUUAGCUAGUUGGCGGGGUAAAGGCACACCAAGGCGACGAUCCGUAGCUGGUCUGAGAGGAUGAUCACACACACUGGAACUGAGACACGGCCCAGACUCCUACGGGAGGCAGCAGUCGGGAAUAUUAGACAAUGGGCGCAAGCCUGAUCCAGCCAUACCGCGUGAGUGAAGAAGGACUUCUGCUGGUAAAGCCCUGUUGUUGGGAAAGAAAAGCAGCAGUUUAAUACCCCGCGGUUCUGACGGUACCGAAAGAAUAAGCACCGGCUAACUUCGUG